UGCACAUAUUGUGAGCUCGAUGAGUAGGGCGGGACACGUGGUAUCCUGUCUGAAUAUGGGGGGACCAUCCUCCAAGGCUAAAUACUCCUGACUGACCGAUAGUGAACCAGUACCGUGAGGGAAAGGCGAAAAGAACCCCGGCGAGGGGAGUGAAAAAGAACCUGAAACCGUGUACGUACAAGCAGUGGGAGCACGCUUAGGCGUGUGACUGCGUACCUUUUGUAUAAUGGGUCAGCGACUUAUAUUCUGUAGCAAGGUUAACCGAAUAGGGGAGCCGAAGGGAAACCGAGUAUUAACUGGGCGUUAAGUUGCAGGGUAUAGACCCGAAACCCGGUGAUCUAGCCAUGGGCAGGUUGAAGGUUGGGUAACACUAACUGGAGGACCGAACCGACUAAUGUUGAAAAAUUAGCGGAUGACUUGUGGCUGGGGGUGAAAGGCCAAUCAAACCGGGAGAUAGCUGGUUCUCCCCGAAAGCUAUUUAGGUAGCGCCUCGUGAAUUCAUCUCCGGGGGUAGAGCACUGUUUCGGCAAGGGGGUCAUCCCGACUUACCAACCCGAUGCAAACUGCGAAUACCGGAGAAUGUUAUCACGGGAGACACACGGCGGGUGCUAACGUCCGUCGUGAAGAGGGAAACAACCCAGACCGCCAGCUAAGGUCCCAAAGUCAUGGUUAAGUGGGAAACGAUGUGGGAAGGCCCAGACAGCCAGGAUGUUGGCUUAGAAGCAGCCAUCAUUUAAAGAAAGCGUAAUAGCUCACUGGUCGAGUCGGCCUGCGCGGAAGAUGUAACGGGGCUAAACCAUGCACCGAAGCUGCGGCAGCGACGCUGAUGCGUUGUUGGGUAG
rnacentral:rRNA from 1 species